rnacentral:rRNA from 1 species
GACGAACGCUGGCGGCGUGCUUAACACAUGCAAGUCGAACGGUGAAGGGGUCUGCUUUUGUGGGCCCUGGAUGAGUGGCGAACGGGUGAGUAACACGUGAGUAACCUGCCCCCUUCUUCUGGAUAACCGCAUGAAAGUGUGGCUAAUACGGGAUAUUCUGGGUCUGUCGCAUGAUGGGUCUGGGAAAGAUUGCGCCUUUGGGUGUUUUUGGUGGGGGAUGGGCUCGCGGCCUAUCAGCUUGUUGGUGGGGUGAUGGCCUACCAAGGCGGUGACGGGUAGCCGGCCUGAGAGGGUGGACGGUCACACUGGGACUGAGACACGGCCCAGACUCCUACGGGAGGCAGCAGUAGGGAAUAUUGCACAAUGGGCGCAAGCCUGAUGCAGCGACGCCGCGUGAGGGAUGGAGGCCUUCGGGUUGUAAACCUCUUUCGCCAGUGAAGCAGGCCUGCUCCUUGUGGGUGGGUUGACGGUAGCUGGAUAAGAAGCGCCGGCUAACUACGUG